UGAGGAAUAUUGGACAAUGGUCGGAAGACUGAUCCAGCCAUGCCGCGUGCAGGAAGACGGCCUUAUGGGUUGUAAACUGCUUUUGUAUGGGAAGAAUAAGGGGUACGUGUACUUUGAUGACGGUACCAUACGAAUAAGCAUCGGCUAACUCCGUGCCAGCAGCCGCGGUAAUACGGAGGAUGCGAGCGUUAUCCGGAAUCAUUGGGUUUAAAGGGUCCGUAGGCGGGUAAGUAAGUCAGAGGUGAAAGCACUGAGCUCAACUGAGUAACUGCCUUUGAAACUGCUUAUCUUGAAUGUUUGUGAAGUAGCUGGAAUGUGUAGUGUAGCGGUGAAAUGCAUAGAUAUUACACAGAACACCGAUUGCGAAGGCAUGUUACUAACAAAUGAUUGACGCUGAUGGACGAAAGCGUGGGGAGCGAACA
rnacentral:rRNA from 1 species